rnacentral:tRNA from 1 species
GCCUCAGUAGCACAGCGGUAGUGCGGCCGCCUUGUAAGCGGCAGGUCGAGGGUUCGAAUCCCUCCUGAGGCU